rnacentral:rRNA from 1 species
AAUAGCGGAGGAAAAGAAACUAACUAGGAUUCCCUUAGUAACGGCGAGUGAACCGGGAUGAGCUCAAAUUUAAAAUCUGGCGUCUUUCAGGCGUCCGAGUUGUAAUCUAUAGAGGCGUUUUCCGCGCCGGACCGCGUCCAAGUCUCUUGGAAUAGAGUAUCAAAGAGGGUGACAAUCCCGUACUUGACGCGACAACCGGUGCUCUGUGAUACGUUCUCAAUGAGUCGAGUUGUUUGGGAAUGCAGCUCUAAAUGGGUGGUAAAUUCCAUCUAAGGCUAAAUAUUGGCGAGAGACCGAUAGCGAACAAGUACCGUGAGGGAAAGAUGAAAAGCACUUUGGAAAGAGAGUUAAACAGCACGUGAAAUUGUUAAAAGGGAAACGAUUGAAGUCAGUCGUGUGAAAGGUAUUCAGCCGUCUCUGGCGGUGUAUUUGCCUUUCACGGGUCAACAUCAGUUUGAUCCGGUAGAAAAAGGCGGGAGGAAGGUGGCACCCUCGGGUGUGUUAUAGCCUCCUGUCAUAUGUGCCGGACCAGACUGAGGAACGCAGCUUGCCGCAAGGCCGGGGUUCGCCCACGUACAAGCUUAGGAUGUUGACAUAAUGGCUUUAAACGACCCGUCUU